rnacentral:snoRNA from 1 species
AUGGUAGUGAGGAUGCUUUCCCCAAAUGAUUGACCAUGUUUAUACUGUGUGCAACUGUAAUCUCACCGGGAUUCCAAGCCAGAAAUCUGAUCCAU